GACGGAGGAUGCAAGCGUUAUCCGGGAUGAUUGGGCGUAAAGCGUUCGCAGGUGGCUGUUCAAGUCUGCUGUCAAAGACCGGGGCUUAACACUAGAAAGUCAGUGGAAACUGGACGGCUGGAGUGCAGUAUGGGUAGAGGGAAUUCCCAGUGUAGCGGUGAAAUGCGUAGAGAUUGGGAAGAACACCGGUGGCGAAAGCGCUCUGCUGGACUGCAACUGACACUGAGGGACGAAAGCUAGGGGAGCGAAAGGG
rnacentral:rRNA from 1 species